GGGUGCGAUCAUACCAGCACUAAUGCACCAUAUUCCAUUAGUACUCCGCAGUUAAGCGUGUUUGGGCAAGAGUAGUACUAAGAUGGGUGAUCUCCUGGGAAGUCUUCGUGUUAGAUCUC
rfam:Arabis alpina cultivar Pajares Aa.chr8_contig_1537, whole genome shotgun sequence.